AAAUAUAUGUUUGAGUUUAAAGAAAAAAUACACCUGCCUUACAAGCAGGGGGUCACUGGUUCGAAUCCAGUAUUUCCCA
rnacentral:tRNA from 1 species